rnacentral:rRNA from 1 species
GGUGAGGUAACGGCUCACCAAGGCGACGAUCAGUAGCCGGCUUGAGAGAGUGAACGGCCACAUUGGGACUGAGACACGGCCCAAACUCCUACGGGAGGCAGCAGUGGGGAAUAUUGCACAAUGGGGGAAACCCUGAUGCAGCGACGCCGCGUGAGUGAAGAAGUAUUUCGGUAUGUAAAGCUCUAUCAGCAGGGAAGAAAAUGACGGUACCUGACUAAGAAGCCCCGGCUAACUACGUGCCAGCAGCCGCGGUAAUACGUAGGGGGCAAGCGUUAUCCGGAAUUACUGGGUGUAAAGGGUGCGUAGGUGGUAUGGCAAGUCAGAAGUGAAAACCCAGGGCUUAACUCUGGGACUGCUUUUGAAACUGUCAGACUGGAGUGCAGGAGAGGUAAGCGGAAUUCCUAGUGUAGCGGUGAAAUGCGUAGAUAUUAGGAGGAACAUCAGUGGCGAA